rnacentral:sRNA from 1 species
UUUUGGGAACUCACUGACUUUAGGUUCCAUCGGAACUCCGAAGUUAAGCGAGUUUGGGUGAGAGCGGUCCUAGGAUGGGUGACUCAUUAGGAAAUUCUGUUUGCGUGAGUUCUCUGGAUCCCAGGUUGGGAUGUGAUAAUUUGGUAUCAGAACCAAUCCAUGGGCGGCCGAAAGUGUGCCAACGAGGACGUCGGGCCCCUAAAGGAGGUGGAUUGUUAGAUCCCACAUCGCCUAGGGAAGUGGAUCAUAUAUGCCUUAUAUGUACAUGCUCACCUCUUCCAAACACAAGGUCUUUUGGGAACUCACUGGUUUCGGGUUCUAUCGGAACUCCGAAGUUAAGCGAGUUCGAGUGAGAGUGGUCCUAGGAUGGAUAACCCACUGAGAAGUUCUGCUCGCGUGAGUC